AACGAACGCUGGCGGCAUGCCUAACACAUGCAAGUCGAACGAGAUCUUCGGAUCUAGUGGCGCACGGGUGCGUAACGCGUGGGGAUCUGCCCUUGGGUUCGGAAUAACAGUGAGAAAUUACUGCUAAUACCGGAUGAUGUCUUCGGACCAAAGAUUUAUUGCCCAGGGAUGAGCCCGCGUAGGAUUAGCUAGUUGGUGGGGUAAUGGCCUACCAAGGCGACGAUCCUUAGCUGGUCUGAGAGGAUGAUCAGCCUCACUGGGACUGAGACACGGCCCAGACUCCUACGGGAGGCAGCAGUGGGGAAUAUUGGACAAUGGGCGAAAGCCUGAUCCAGCAAUGCCGCGUGAGUGAUGAAGGCCUUAGGGUUGUAAAGCUCUUUUACCAGGGAUGAUAAUGACAGUACCUGGAGAAUAAGCUCCGGCUAACUCCGUGCCAGCCGCCGCGGUAA
rnacentral:rRNA from 1 species